rnacentral:rRNA from 1 species
AUGUGGACAGAUGAGCUCAAGGUUUCUGUUUAUAGCGGCUCAUUCCAUGCUAUCCUAGCGAAUGUAGUUCAUGUAGCUUCAGGUGUAGAGUUUUGUUUGGUCUGUAUAUAUGGUGAUCCUUAUCACCGUCAGACUAGUGUCAUAUGGAAUCAGGUGGCCACUUUUGUGUAUGAUAACCUAGGCAAGCCGAUGAUUUGUAUGGGCGACAUGAACGAUAUCCUGUAUGAUAUAGAUAAAUGCAAUGCGAGUGUGAAUUAUUAUCGGAUGUCAUCCUUUCGUUCUUUGGUUAAAAAUUGUGGUUUAUUUGACAUCGGUUAUAGUGGGCCGGCUUACACUUGGCGUAAUAGGCAACACAUGUCUAACCCUAUCUAUCAAUGUUUAGAUCGUUGUUUGGUCAAUCCUGAUUGGUGUGCUUUUUACCCAAAUACUAAAGUGCUUAAUCUUCCUAUCAUUUUAAGUGAUCAUGGUCCUAUUCUCAUAUCUACUGACAGACAGUUCUCUAAGACAAAGCAGUCUUUCAAAUUUGAAAAUUGGUUGCUUCUUGAGAAGGACUUCCAUGCUCAUGCCAAGGCAGUCUGGAAUAGUACCAAGACAACCUCUUUUUCUGCCAAAACUUUUUGUCUUGCAGGAUCUUUAAAGAGGUGA